rnacentral:rRNA from 1 species
GAUGAACGCUGGCGGCGUGCCUAACACAUGCAAGUCGAACGGAGUCCAGCCUUAGAGACCUUCGGGUCAAAGAGGGGAAGACUGAGUGGCGGACGGGUGAGUAACACGUGGGCAACCUGGCUCAUAGAGGGGGAUAACAGAGAGAAAUUUCUGCUAAUACCGCAUAAGCACACACUGCCGCAUGGCAGAGUGUGAAAAGAGAAUCGCUAUGAGAUGGACCCGCGUCUGAUUAGCCAGUUGGCAGGGUAAGAGCCUACCAAAGCGACGAUCAGUAGCCGAUUUGAGAGGAUGAACGGCAACAUUGGGACUGAGACACGGCCCAAACUCCUACGGGAGGCAGAAGUGGGGGAUAUUGCAAAAUGGGGGGAACCCUGAUGCAGCGACGCCGCGUGAGUGAAGAAGUAUUUCGGUAUGUAAAGCUCUAUCAGCAGGGAAGAUAAUGACAGUACCUAAAUAAGAAGCCCCGGCUAACUACGUG